GACGAACGCUGGCGGCGUGCCUAAUACAUGCAAGUAGAACGCUGAAGGAGGAGCUUGCUUCUCUGGAUGAGUUGCGAACGGGUGAGUAACGCGUAGGUAACCUGCCUGGUAGCGGGGGAUAACUAUUGGAAACGAUAGCUAAUACCGCAUAAUAGUAGAUGUUGCAUGACAUUUGCUUAGAAGGUGCAAUUGCAUCACUACCAGAUGGACCUGCGUUGUAUUAGCUAGUUGGUGAGGUAACGGCUCACCAAGGCGACGAUACAUAGCCGACCUGAGAGGGUGAUCGGCCACACUGGGACUGAGACACGGCCCAGACUCCUACGGGAGGCAGCAGUAGGGAAUCUUCGGCAAUGGACGGAAGUCUGACCGAGCAACGCCGCGUGAGUGAAGAAGGUUUUCGGAUCGUAAAGCUCUGUUGUAAGAGAAGAACGAGUGUGAGAGUGGAAAGUUCACACUGUGACGGUAUCUUACCAGAAAGGGACGGCUAACUACGUGCCAGCAGCCGCGGUAAUACGUAGGUCCCGAGCGUCGUCCGGAUUUAUUGGGCGUAAAGCGAGCGCAGGCGGUUAGAUAAGUCUGAAGUUAAAGGCUGUGGCUUAACCAUAGUACGCUUUGGAAACUGUUUAACUUGAGUGCAAGAGGGGAGAGUGGAAUUCCAUGUGUAGCGGUGAAAUGCGUAGAUAUAUGGAGGAACACCGGUGGCGAAAGCGGCUCUCUGGCUUGUAACUGACGCUGAGGCUCGAAAGCGUGGGGAGCGAACAGG
rnacentral:rRNA from 1 species